GAGUUUGAUAUGGCUCAGAUUGAACGCUGGCGGCAUGCCUAACACAUGCAAGUCGAACGGUAACAGGUCUUCGGAUGCUGACGAGUGGCGGACGGGUGAGUAAUGCGUAGGAAUCUGUCUUUUAGUGGGGGACAACCCAGGGAAACUUGGGCUAAUACCGCAUGAGCCCUGAGGGGGAAAGCGGGGGAUCUUCGGACCUCGCGCUAAGAGAGGAGCCUACGUCCGAUUAGCUAGUUGGCGGGGUAAAGGCCCACCAAGGCGACGAUCGGUAGCUGGUCUGAGAGGACGACCAGCCACACUGGGACUGAGACACGGCCCAGACUCCUACGGGAGGCAGCAGUGGGGAAUUUUUCGCAAUGGGGGCAACCCUGACGAAGCAAUGCCGCGUGGAUGAAGAAGGCCUUCGGGUUGUAAAGUCCUUUCGUGGAGGACGAAAAGGUGGGUUCUAAUACAAUCUGCUAUUGACGGAAUCCAAGAAGAAGCACC
rnacentral:rRNA from 1 species